CGGGUGAGUAACGCGUGGGUAACCUGCCUCGUACAGGGGGAUAACAGUUAGAAAUGACUGCUAAUACCGCAUGAGCGCACAGUGCUGCAUGGCACAGUGUGAAAAACUCCGGUGGUAUGAGAUGGACCCGCGUCUGAUUAGGUAGUUGGUGGGGUAACGGCCUACCAAGCCGACGAUCAGUAGCCGACCUGAGAGGGUGACCGGCCACAUUGGGACUGAGACACGGCCCAA
rnacentral:rRNA from 1 species